rnacentral:rRNA from 1 species
UACGUAGGGGGGCUAGCGUUGUCCGGAAUCAUUGGGCGUAAAGAGCGUGUAGGCGGCCCGGUAAGUCCGCUGUAAAAGUCAAAGGCUCAACCUUUGAAUGUCAGUGGAUACUGCCGGGCUAGAGUCCGGAAGAGGCGAGUGGAACUCCUGGUGUAGCGGUGGAAUGCGCAGAUAUCAGGAAGAACACCAACGGCGAAGGCAGCUCGCUGGGGACGGUACUGACGCUGAGACGCGAAAGCGUGGGGAGCAAACAGG